CCUUUUCAUACUUUACCUUGUUUAAUGUUUAAGAAUGAUAUGUGCACAGUAACUAUCUGUAAAGGUAGGAUUGGAAGAUAAAAUUCAGGAUAGUCAUUUGAGUUUGAACUUCAGACAACAAAUAACACACCAAAUAACUCAAUCCAUAUAUUGAUUUGUUAAAUUUUACAAUCUUGCCUGAGUCCAGAGCCCUCGGGGAGCUUUUAGCCAAAAUGCAGUGGAAAGCAUGGAAAGGUUGAACAUUAGGGUCACAUUCUAAUCUUACCACUUACAGACAUUGGGACCUCGGACAAGUUACUUGACCUCUCUGAGCCACAAAGAGUUGUGGUAAGAAUUAACCAAAGAAAACAUACGGGAAAACUCCUAGUACACUGCUUGGCAAGUAAUUGGCAUUCAAAAAUGGCAAUUCUUAUUGUUCUCUUUUACUCAGAAUAACAUUUUUUUCUUGGGCCCUUGUCCUAGUCAAAAAAAAAAAAAAAAAAAAAAAAAGCAUAGUUGUGGAUCCUGGGAGCAUUAGUUGGAAAUGUGUACCUGCCUGCCUUGGUAACCUCAAGCACACCCUUCACCCUAUCAUCUCCUACAACUAGAAAAAUGCAAAGCAAUCAAUGGAAUGUGGGCUUGGGCACAUGUGACAGACACUGCUAGAUGUUCACCAGAAGAGGAGUGGAUCCAGAACCGAAGGCAGCUUCCUGGGAGGCCAGAGCAGUACCUUCUUCAAAGGACAGGCAUCUCUUGAGGAGGGCUGAGGAUAUUUAGUCCCAGCUGCAAUGCAGGAGCAGCAGCUUGCAACAGCAGUCACGGUGAGAUUCUGAGAUUUCAUAAAGAUUUUAUAAGAAUGAGGAGUUCAACAACCAUGUCCAGCUUCAAUAGUCAAUGGUAGCUCCUUCCCAACCCAGCUUGCUAAUUAAAGUCACUCCCAUUUACAGAAUGUGCAUCAGACAGUCCACCAGGUAGUUUAUACCCAUCAACUUGUAAGGUGGUGUGUCUUGUUUUGCAGAUAAAGAGACAGAAAUGGGGUGAGGUUAGCUCUCCAGCCCAGGGUCAUGUGUUCAGGGAGUAGAAGAGG
rnacentral:lncRNA from 12 species